UCCCACGUGGUCUAGCGAUCAGGAUUCCUGACUCUCACUCAAGCGGCCCGGGAUCGACUCCCGGCGUGGGAA